GAUGAACGCUGGCGGCGUGCCUAAUACAUGCAAGUCGAGCGAACAGACGAGGAGCUUGCUCCUCUGACGUUAGCGGCGGACGGGUGAGUAACACGUGGAUAACCUACCUAUAAGACUGGGAUAACUUCGGGAAACCGGAGCUAAUACCGGAUAACAUGUUGAACCGCAUGGUUCAACAGUGAAAGACGGUCUUGCUGUCACUUAUAGAUGGAUCCGCGCCGCAUUAGCUAGUUGGUAAGGUAACGGCUUACCAAGGCAACGAUGCGUAGCUGACCUGAGAGGGUGAUCGGCCACACUGGAACUGAGACACGGUCCAGACUCCUACGGGAGGCAGCAGUAGGGAAUCUUCCGCAAUGGGCGAAAUCCUGACGGAGCAACGCCGCGUGAGUGAAGAAGGUCUUCGGAUCGUAAAACUCUGUUAUUAGGGAAGAACAAAUGUGUAAGUAACUAUGCACGUCUUGACGGUACCUAAUCAGAAAGCCACGGCUAACUACGUG
rnacentral:rRNA from 1 species